AGAUCGCAAGUUUGAAAGAAGCUGGUGUGAUUGUCACAAACUCUCCUGCACAAAUGGGAAAUACUAUGAAAGAGGUAUACUCUCACUUCAUUGUAGGUUUGCAUCGUGAUAGAUAGAACUGUUUGACAUCACUAUAUCAGUCUUAUGAUCUCGAACGGUCUCUGCCAGUGUAGAUAGCGACGAUAUCAACUUAACAAGACAACCCAAAAGGUCUUCGCUUGAAACGUCGAAGUUCUGCUUGUAUUUUUCAGGUAGUUUUAUCCCUUUCAAUGCGAAGCUAUAUGUCAUGUAAUGAUCAUAAGACAAACACAGAUAUCGAAGAAAGUAUAUUGAGUUCCGAAAUAUGACCCACUCAAACCGACUUGACCUCGUAGCUUUAGUUGGUGGAGCAUUGGACUUGCAAACCAAAAGUCUCGGGUUCGAUUCCCACUAGCACUGGAUAUUCUCAGAGUACCAUCAUAAAGAACCCAGCUUGUGCAAUCUGCAGUGUAAAGUUUCAUGUUGUCUGCACAUGCAUGCAUGUACUUUUUUUAGAGGCAAAUCGGAAAAUGAUCAAGAUAGUGACUCUAGUUGAUUUACGUAUUGUAUUGACAUAUGAUUGCUUUUUAGUCUUCAAUAUUUGAGUGAGUCAGUCUUCGGAAAUGGCAAUGAACUUUUAUUACCCAAACCCUUCAGUUGUUUUGUUUUUCAUUUAUCCAACUUUUACUUUUCUUUUAUUUUCCACAAAACAAAACAAUUUUACAUUUUCUACGUUCUACAGUUUUGUUGUGAUUUUCUUCUCGUUCUAGGCCUUAGAAAGAAAACUCGACCCAUAGAAUACCAAAAUUUAUCGAGAGUUUUAUGGAGCCAGGAUGUCUACCUAGAAGCCUUCAUUUGCGCCGCCGUCUAAGGAGUCAGGAACUUAAGUGGGGAACUUUAAUUAGAAAUUUGUGAUGUUGGAUUUUCCAUGAGUUGAAAGAAUUCCGUGUAAAAUAUUCUGAUGUAUGAAAAAUAUAUUCCUCAGUUACCAAUUAUAUGAUUUCUUCAAAGUCGUAAUGACCGUGGUUACGACAUUGGUCAUUUGAUAUAUUCCAAUUUCCAGUAAUACAAUGGGGUUCACGAUCACUUCAGUGCUACCAAUCGAUAUUGCUUUACAUGAUUAUCAACAUUAAAUGCAUUGGCACUUUGGAUUGAGGAAGUGAUGCUCAAUCUUUUCACUAAGAGGCAAUUUUUUUCAAUGUUGCAUUUUUGCGAUGAAAAGUGCUCAAGUACCUCUCAAAAUUGUUUUGCUUUAAUUAGCUUUAUUCUCUAGACUAUUUGCCAGUUGAGAA